UCUUAUGUUUUGCUUAU
rnacentral:sRNA from 1 species